CAACAAGGUGAGUGUGUGAUGCGAGUAGUGGAUCUGGUGACACAGAACUGGAAACAGGCUUGAUGUAGGCUCCAGGCCCCAGUGACUCUGACCCGGACGAAAGAUUCAACGAUGGACUGACAGACUGUUUGUCGUGUGCCAGUCCCACAGCGAUACAGCACCUCCAGAGUAAAACGUCAUGGUAUCCAAAAACAACACAGUACCAGACUGAGCAACCCAGGAUGCAUCUUAAUGUUUAUAUGUUGCUGAUAGCAUCUCACCCUUUUGGCAGCUGCAGGUUAUAAUAUACUGGAUGAAGCACAAUCUGCAGUUCCUAAAAUAAACAGUACUCAGCUCUUCCCUUUAACUGAGAUCUAAAUUCACUACAGUGUAGAAAUACAUUUAUGCCUUGGCUUCAUUGUCUCAGGAAAAUGCCACUAACUUCAGCCAUUUAAGAGUAAUGUGAUAUGUCGGAAUGAAGCGGUUACUCUGUGCAGCACGACUGAACUGGUGAUGUCGUUUUAAACUGGUUACGCAGUUUGCCCAUGUUGUUAAAGCGUUUGGUUUGUCAUACUGGAUGAUUGUGAUUGUGUGUCAGAAUAUGUGUUUCUAAAUUCACUUAAACGGGAAGUUUGCUGUGCCCUGUCUGGCAGGCAGGAAGAACAUCAGCUGAAUCAUUGUUUAAAAACCACUACUGGGAGGCUUCAUUAUACUGAGGCAAAAGUAAAGGAAAAACAAAUACUCUAGUCAUCUACAUUAUGUUGUUGAACAGAAUAACAAAACAGUAAUAGAAUCAACAGAAUGCAAAGCUCCGCCCACAAUAAAACUGCAACCAAUCACUGAAAGCCAGACCCUGCACUGCGACCACAUACCCCACACGUAAUGACACCCAGGUUCACCCCUUCAGGCUCAUUGCCAGUCCUCACUUGCUGGCUAACAGCUUAGUUAGUUGGACACCUUCAGUCUUUCAUAUUUGUGUUCCCACUCUCACUCACAUCCAGUGUUGGGCAUUUCAGGAGCAAUAACUACCUAUCUAGACCGGGAUUUUGUUUCUAGCAACCAGCUGAUCAUAAAGAGUCACAGUCACAGAGUUCUCAGCUGGUCGGUAGAAAUAAAAUCAUGGUCUGGAUAUGUGGCUUCAGGACCUGAAAUGCCCAACCCUGUUCAUCCAUUCUAGGUCUCCAUCAAAGAGUAAGCCUUUUGAUCCCAGCCCCUGGCUGGGAUGUGAUUCGCUGAGGCUGUGUCACAGUGGUUGCCAUUGGACAGGGCUCAGAUUUGGCCACACCCCUUUUAUAAAGAGACAAAGCUCAUACAGGGUCCUCCUGGCCCCGAAAACAUGCUCAUGAUGAAAGCUUAAAGCCAAAGUUUCAAAGAUUGGGUGCAAACAUUUAUUAAUGUUUUAUAUUUUCUCAUUUGAAAAGUAAUCAAGAAGCUUGGGCAGAUGUGUCCUACUCAGCGGGGGAAUGCAUUUCAUGUCAUCUUUCCACUCUCCAAUGGCAGGAAACACACCUAGAAUCUGUCUGGUCCUGUCACUGCUUGAGUGAAGUCUUGUUUAAAGUGUGAUGGCAUGGCGAGACUCUCCUCUCGCUCUCUCUUCCUUCUUCUCUCUUACUUUCCCUUUUCAUUGGACUGUGAGCAGUCCAAUUUUGGAAUUUUUGUCAGACUGAAUGCAGCCUAUCAACAUGAAACAGCUUGCACCUCCGAUGUGAGCAUAUGUGCAUGUGUUUGGACAUGGAACACAGUUUGGCCAGUUGUGUAACACAGUAACUGCUAUGUGUAGCUUGUCUAUUAUUGUCCACAGAAUUGGAUGUUGAUUAUUACAGUAAUAAUCCUAGAGCUGUAUCAUUUAUGCACUCUGGUGCCAAUCAUGUGUUGUCUGAUAAUCUCUUUAGGCUAAUUGACACGGUUAACAUCUAGCACAGUUGUGUGGAAGUUACCAUUGACUCAUCUGGGAGGGAAUUUUCUCCAGCCCACUGAGCUGCGAGGUUCCAUAAUGCCUUUCUGCUUUGUGACUCAAUGGUAAUUCCAAUGUACCACGCUCCCCUGACAUAUUAAUAUAAAAAUGCAAAAAUCAUGACAGCAUCUCAGUUUAUUCUUUUCUGCGUAUAGUUUUAUUGACUGAAGCCAAAAGUUGUGAGCUGGAGGCAGCUGUCUGCCUACACAAAGUCUCUGCUAACAGAAAACAUGGAGCAGUUUUAUUCUGGCUGCUUAGUAUUUUUGAGACAUGUAUAGUGCUGACAGAGAGUCUAGGGAUGCUUGCAUGAUUCAAUAAAAAUAUCGCUAAUUCAUUAGUUUUAUAACCAAGUAAUAAUCAUUACUUAAUUUGUAUACAAUGAGUCUACCAGUCAAAAGUUUUUGCAUGCACUGAGAUAUUCUACAUAUGCAUGUUCAUUUACUAAAAAUACACAAAAAAUUCUUUGCUAACAAAUAAUUUUACAGUAUGUUCACUAUUUGAGUAUCUUAACUAGCAAAAAAUCAUGUGUGAUCUUUGAUUCAUCAAAGUAACUUCUAGCAGUUAAAAUAGCAGAUAAAAUUCAAGGCAUCCUUCCUACAAGGGACAUUAACUACUGCUCUGUUUCAUUGGAUGAAGCAGUUAACUAGUGCAUGUAAAGUUAAAGGACAGCCUAUUAUUUUACUAUGCCAUUGUCACACAACCACUUAAUAGGACAUCAUGCAUGCACUGUUACAUAUUCUUUCCAUGUUAUGAAGGAAACUUGUUUUAUUUGACUUUUAUUUUCAUUUAGAGUUGUUCACCCAACUUUCCAAUGUUUAACAAGAAUAAAAAAUCUGCAAUAAAUGGAAAUGUGAUAGAAA